AAUAAUGUUCAUGGCUGGAUACAAAUGGAAAUAGUCACAGGGACCUUGAUCUACUCUACUACUGACUUCAGCAUCUAACAUCACGACACUAAUGUUUUCAGUAAUUUGUAGAUGUAAGUCAUGCAAUUUCCGUGGUUGUAGCCAUAAUUUUCAUUGGUCCAUAAAACGUACUGUGUAACAGCGGUGUUGCGGGGAUAUUAAUCACCUUUAGCGAUAGCUCUAGUUGUUUCUAGAAAACAGUGUAUCCAUAGACAUUUUUCAGCUAAUUCGUAAAGAGGUGCGUUUCAAUCCGAACAGGAUUAAUAGAAUCUAAUUUGAAACUGUGUUUGUGUAAUAUAUACUAGUAAUCUAUAAUCUUUUUACAGAGGAUAGAGUGUUGGUGGAGGAGACUUCAUGAGAUGUGCAUUAUUGCAGCAUGACAAGAAAUUCUUGGUGACUUAGAAAGCAAAGGGAUAUUUUCCACCGCAAAUAAUCUUCAUAUAGAAUAUGUAAGGUUUUGCUUCACAAAAAUAAUACAGCAUGAGCUGGAUCUGGUCCGUCAAGUAUGGAACGAUAAUCAAAUCUGACGUCAGAACGGAGAUGUCCAUGGCAAGCCAUAAAUCCUCUACCACCAUCCAGACUUAUAUGGCACAAGAGACUAUGCAUUUCCAGAUGUAGCCACCUUCCGCUCCUUUUGCAAACCAACGCCGCUGUGAGGAGCCCCUGUAAACCACCGUCGCAAACUGGCCGUGAGGAGCCCCUGCAAACACCGUCACUAACUGGCUACGAGGAGCGCUCCCUGCAAACCACCGUCGCGUCGCUAACUGGCUGUGAGGAGCCCCUGCGAACCACCGUCGCUUACUGGUUGUGACGAGCCCCUGCAAACCACCGUCGCUAACUGGCUGUGACGAGGCCCUGCAAACUACCGUCGCUAAUUGGCUGUGACGAGCCCCUGCAAACCACCGUCGCUAACUGGGCUAUUUUUUUACAACUCUAUAUAUUUUAAAUAGCGCUGUUAAAAAUCGCCGGUUUUUAAAAGCGUUCUAUUGAAUUACUGUUGAAAAUAUUGUAUUCAUUAUUGGUUCUUAUUUUGUCAAAGAUAUUGGCUUAAGAAUCUGCCCGCACCUAUUUAAGACCAACAUGUUUUCUAUCUCAACACUAUAGUUAAAUUCCCAUAGUCCCUGACUUUAGGGUUAUGAGUGAGAAUGUGUGUGUUAGGGUUGUGGUACGUGAUAGGAUUAGAUUCAGGGAAAGGGAUUAGUGCUGCAGCCUAGAAGGAAAUGCAUAGUGUGGAUAAAUUCUAAAAUUGUUCGAAGAUAUUUGACUUACUUCAACUUUCAAAUUUUGGAGCCAAAUGUAAAAAAGUAUAUCUUUAAAAUAUUACACGGCUGAAUUCCGCCAUACCAGUGGUUCCAACAAACCCGUUUAAAUUGAAAUGUUGUGACAUUUCGUUUGUAGCGCCGAUUACCGAUUGUUUACAUCUCCAUCGUCUAAUAACUUCUGCAUCAUAGGAAUAGAAAUACAUUUUUUCCGUAAUGGUACUCAUUUUGGUCAGUUUGUCUGAAACAUUCCCAUUUGCUCACAAAUGACAGAUAAAUUUCAAUGUAAAAUCAGGUUUACAAUGUGUUUUAGUGAUUAUUUGUUAAAAGAACAUUUUUUUAUGUUGAUACCAUUCACGG
rnacentral:lncRNA from 1 species